rfam:Microcystis aeruginosa NIES-843 DNA, complete genome.
AGGAGCCGGAUACGGCGAAAGUCGUAAGUCCGGUUUUGAAGCAGGGGGUGGGAAGGCGACUUCCUGCUCUACUGUAAC